UAGGGAAUCUUCGGCAAUGGACGAAAGUCUGACCGAGCAACGCCGCGUGAGUGAAGAAGGUUUUCGGAUCGUAAAACUCUGUUGUUAGAGAAGAACAAGGACGUUAGUAACUGAACGUCCCCUGACGGUAUCUAACCAGAAAGCCACGGCUAACUACGUGCCAGCAGCCGCGGUAAUACGUAGGUGGCAAGCGUUGUCCGGAUUUAUUGGGCGUAAAGCGAGCGCAGGCGGUUUGUUAAGUCAGAUGUGAAAUCCCCGGGCUCAACCUGGGAACUGCAUCUGAUACUGGCAAGCUUGAGUCUCGUAGAGGGGGGUAGAAUUCCAGGUGUAGCGGUGAAAUGCGUAUAGAUCUGGAGGAAUACCGGUGGCGAAGGCGGCCCCCUGGACGAAGACUGACGCUCAGGUGCGAAAGCGUGGGGAGCAAACAGG
rnacentral:rRNA from 1 species